AUUCAGCUGAUGAGUCCUAAAUAGGACGAAACGUGAGUCCUGGAU
rnacentral:hammerhead_ribozyme from 1 species